UCAAAGCCGGAGGUUCAUGGCGCUUUUGCGGAGCUCCCGUGUACGUCCUUGCAUCUUAAGGAACCGGUGGGAUUGUAACGCGUGAAUUACACUUUCUUCUUGAGACGGGAUCCUUCUCCAGAAUCCUGGAACUGACUGUAGACCAGGCUGGCUUCGAACUCACAAGAGAUCCACCUGCUUCUGCCUUGCAAGUGCUGGCAUUAAAGGUGUGCGCUACC
rnacentral:lncRNA from 1 species